UUGUGUUCCCCACCGGCAGAUGGGCUGCCACUGUGCCACUCGAGAGCCACAUUCAGCUUUGCUAUGCUCGCACUUAUGAAAAUCUGAUGCCUGGAUUCAUCAAUAAUGGCACAGACUUUUAAACAAGUCCAUGAGACUCCUUCCAAGUACUUCUGAAUCUUCCACUCGAUUAGUUUUAGAAGUGAAUUGGGAAGUUUUUCUGAUGGCUGAAAAUACAUUAAAAAAAUCUUUUGUGGAUUUAAAAUAGUACACACUGUAGAGAGAAGUCCUGAAACAGCAAAGGAGAAGAAGUAGCUAGCAAACUUGGUUUAUAUGCAUUGUAUAAAUACAUACACUUAGACAGCAUUAGGUCAGUACGUAGCCAGAAAGGACCUGCUCUUGCUCCUAUUCGAGUCAAUCUUAAAAGUCCUAUUGACUUUCACAGUUCAGGAUCAGAACCUCAGAGACAGUCAGGCAGAGAUGUGAUAAACUGCAGAGCCAGAUGAUAAAUUGCAUUUAUUGUGCACUUUUGACCACAUCUCCUGCACUCUGCCCACUAAUCCAUCUCCCCCAGGGCUUAGUCUUACAUUCCAAACCUCUGUGGAGCUUCCAAACUUCAAUUUUAUUUUCUAAAUCAACAUGCCAAGAACAAAUGUCCUGCUCUGACUAAAAUUACCCUGUCCCAAGACCUAGGACAGGCAAUAUUCCAUUCUGCACCAAGGACAAGUUUAAGGCCCAGUAUCUUAUUAAUGGGCAAAGGGAUCUAAGGGAAUUUUACAGCUUUGGAAAAUGGAAAUUUCCAGUGAGACACAAGCACUUGCUUCUAGCCUUAAAAGUCCCAAGAUACCAUAUAGGGUUUUAAGCCCUGUAAAACUGUGGGAAUUCUUGAAAACUAAAACAUCUUUUUUGAUAAAGGCAGGUUAAAAAAAGAAGAGGAAGAAAUUCCCCCCAAAUAGAUUUUACAACUCCCUAAAACAUUUGCACUGCUUACUAUGCAAAAUAUAUGAUAGUGUGUUGUGGUAUAAAGCUUUGAUUAGCAUGAAUUUGAGAUUAACUGCAGUUAUGAGUAAUGCAGCCAUCCUAAAUUAAUACUGAUAAAACCAUCAGUUCAUACCACAGCACAUUUCCUAUAUUUAAAAAACACUAAUGCACAAGCUGCUGUGCAUGUGUAAUACUGCCCUCCACUGGAGGGAACCAUAAUUGCACAGUCGUGUGUCAUAGGCCCUACAUUGUUAACAGCUAAUGGAGAGUCUACUCUAGCCAGAUAAGGAAGCAUGUACCUUUGAAACGGGAGGAUAUGUGUUCUAUCACUGAGGUUGUUGGGAAGAAUUGAGUGACCAGAGUGUGCAACACAGGAACUUCACAGUUGUCACUAUCUAGCCAUAUAGAUUUGUUACACUAUUGUACAUAUCUAUAUCCAGAUCCUUUGCACUUACAUAGUUCCUUUCAUGGGGGGCAUGGAUCAGCAUUCAUGUCGCACUCCCUGUCAGUACCUGGCCCAGGCUGGGUAAGCUAAUGAUCCAACCAGCAGACCAAAUUCGGUGAUGAAUCCUGGCCAUGUGUCACCUAAGGCACAUUGCACAUAUGUUAAGAAGAAGUUCCUUUCAUCUGAGCAACUGCAAAAUGUUUUACAAAGGAAAUCUAACUCCUGUCACAUGGCUCCAGUGACCUUGAGGAGAAAAGGACGUAUCCCAGUUUCUUGAAGCCUCCAGUUCAUCCUUCUUAACAGUGCAGUGAUAUUAGAAUCCACAACCAAGUGCAGCCUGCAAGAAACGCAUGAUUGCAGACCUAGUAAACACCAACAUAAAUAUUUCUGGAGGGUAGCUGUUCUGAGGGAUGGAGCCAUUUGUCAGCACAGGUGCAGCAGGGUGCUGCAUAUAACAUAUGGAAUCUGAAGAACUUCACUGAGCUGAAAUUCAGAGGAAGAGGUGCUUUAAAACUAGAUGAGAUAUGACAAGACUUAUAAAACAGAACCUGCCAUCCUGAGUCAUGAUAGCAAUGAAACAUUGCUCACAAAAACACUGUCAACCACAGACAAUGAAUAUAACAGUGGCUAUUGAGGUUACUAAUUAUUUUUUGCAUAUAAUGGUUGUAUUUUCAAGAAAAGAGGAGAACAGGAAGUGGAAACAUUGGAAACCUCACAAGAAAACAGUGUUGAGAUUUUCAGAAUGCUUUGAAGACAAAAGAGCUUCAGAUACAUUUAGCUGAAUAAAUGAGUAUUCAGGUGCUUCUCCAACCCCACACAUCUUGUUUAUGAACAAUUUGAGACCCAUUCUGCUCUCUCUCUCUCCAACCAGACAUUUCCACUGACUUCCUAAAUAGUCAUGAUUUGCAGAACUAUGACAACCAAGAAUUAACUGGUACUAGCCACAGGUUUGUUAUACUGGUGUCAGAGUGAGAUAUUAAGUCCACUGGCCAUGAAUUUUGAGGCCAAGUUAUUUCUAACUAGGUGUAUAUGUAAUGAACUGACUAUUUGGUAUUGGAUUAUAUGUUUUUUCUCUUUUUCUGAGAAUCAGAACUUCUCAACUGUGUACCAUAAACCCUAGACUCCUAACAGAUAUGAGAGAUUCUCCUUUACCUUAAGUAGUGCAGUCUUGUCUAUUUGGGAAUGAGGAUUUAAAUUUUCUGACUGCUGCUGCCAUGAAGAUCAGAGUGGCCAUGGUGUGCAGAUUAGCAAAGGAACCGAUCAUUUAGUUAUUACAGGAUUAUUAUUCUGCAGCACUCCCCUCCCAACUGCUUAUUGGACUGACACUGAAAAUAGUGGUACCACCCAGCCAUACUGCUAAUCAGCAGCAAGGAGGAAAGGGAGAUUGGAGUCCAUCUAAUCAGCAGCUCCAAAGACGAGGCUAAAAUAUUAAUUCUGUCUCCACUUAUGUCAACAUACAUUCUUUUGGCAAAACCAAAUUAGACAGCCCCACUGGAAUCAAAGGCAAAGAGCAGAAAUGUGUGUUAAAUAAGUCCCUUGGUGGGAUGAAAGAAAGAUGAGCCACUGGGGUUGUGUAAAGAAAGAAUGAAAAAGAUAAAGAUUGAACCCUGAGCAGGGUUUCGUUUUAAAGGGUCUGAAACACUGAAGCCUUGUGACACUAUAAAAGUGAAAUGUCAUAUGCAUUUCCUUAUGGGCUUACAAGCUGCUAUUAAAAAUGUCUGUUGUCACAUAAAGCUAUAGUGUUGAUACUGUGAGGCUAGUGUUUGGGGAAGGGGGAGCAAAUUCUUGCUUUGAGCUGAGAGUAAACUUUGUAGCCCUUGUGAUGAACACAGUGGCUUAGACCACAGCCAUCCUUGCAUACGAUAGGUUUCUGGAAAUACAUGGCAGUAAAUAUAAUCAGACCCUUCUGCUAUGGAUGCAAGAGCUAAAGAAAAAUUGCUAUUGCAAGAGCUAAAGAAAAAUUCUCUGUAGCUAUUAGCCACAUAGGGCCUAUGGCACAGAGGAGAGAAGUUCUGAUUCCACGCAGUAGAGGGCAGCAAUAGACAUAUCCAAUAGCCAGGAUAUUCCACUCACAUGGGGUAAUCAAAGCACAGAGAGGCUAAGUGACUUGUGAAAGGUUACAGACUGAUUCAGUCACCGAAUGAGAAAUACUGGUUCCUGACUCUCAGACUUGUCAUCAUUCUACUAGACAUAAUCUGCCCUACUGUGAAAUGGACUUUUCUUUAAUACAUAUAAAGUAUGCUAUAAAUGAAUUACUGGUGUCAGGCAUUGACAAAAAUUAACUGCAAAUUUGGGUGGAAAGGAUCUAAACUUUGUUCUGAAAUCAGUGAUGUAUUUUGUACAAGCAAGUGUUUACUAAUAAGUUGAAAAUCCUAUAAAGGCAAUUUGCAAAUUGUCCUCAUGUCUAGACCUCUACAUACAAAGUCACAUAGCUGAUCAUAAUAACAAAUAUAGGUAAGUGAAAUGCUUGGCCUACAGAAGUAAAUGUGAAAACUCCCAUCCAUUUUAGUGUCAGUUAAAAGUAAAUAAAUCUAAUGAAUGAUGAUUAGGUUAUAGCUUGAAAUACAUUCAAAUUAAAUUAUCUGGAAAAUGAUGCAACUGUAAAAAUCUUACAUUUUGGAUACAAAGAGACUCUUGAUUGAGUAAACAUGUAUAUUAUUACACUUGUCACCAUGUCAAGAUUGCUAUAGCCCAAGGUGCCCUCAGCCUACAUGGAGAAAUCUCUUUGCUGUCAAUGUGCAUCAGUUGAGGCCUGUACUUUAUAUGGUUCUUCUGAAAAUGGAGCAGCAAUGGAGCACUUUGAAGGAAGACUACUUUGAGCAUUACCUAGUAUAACAGUACUUGCUUGUCUUGAAACCUUCCUGAUAACAGACACCUUGGCCAGAACUUGGCU